rnacentral:rRNA from 1 species
UACGGAGGGCGCGAGCGUUGUCCGGAAUCACUGGGCGUAAAGGGCGCGUAGGCGGCCCUGGUAAGUCUGCGGUGAAAGCCCGGGGCUCAACCCCGGGUCGGCCGCGGGUGACUGCCGGGCUGGAGUGCCGUAGGGGCAGGCGGAAUCCGGGUGUAGCGGUGGAAUGCGUAGAGAUCCGGAAGAACACCGGUGGCGAAGGCGGCCUGCUGGGCGGCGACUGACGCUGAGGCGCGACAGCGUGGGGAGCAAACAGG